GACGAACGCUGGCGGCGUGCUUAACACAUGCAAGUCGAGCGGUAAGGCCCUUUCGGGGGUACACGAGCGGCGAACGGGUGAGUAACACGUGGGUGACCUGCCCUCAGCUCUGGGAUAAGCCUGGGAAACCGGGUCUAAUACUGGAUAUGACUCCAUGACGCAUGUUGUGGGGUGGAAAGCCUUGUGCGGCUGAGGAUGGGCCCGCGGCCUAUCAGCUUGUUGGUGGGGUGAUGGCCUACCAAGGCGACGACGGGUAGCCGGCCUGAGAGGGCGACCGGCCACACUGGGACUGAGACACGGCCCAGACUCCGUACGGGAGGCAGCAGUGGGGAAUCUUGCGCAAUGGGCGAAAGCCUAGACGCAGCGACGCCGC
rnacentral:rRNA from 1 species